AAUGAUUGGACCAAUGGUUUAGCUCCGCCCCCUCUCAGCCUGACCGAGGAGCCUGGCCGAAGGAACUGCGAUCCCAAAGAGGAGGAAGAGUAACGCAGGCCAAUGAGUGGGUGAUAGGACGGAGGAGAGAGUCUACAUUCUCCAAACGUGUUGCUGUGUAGUUCAUGUCGCAUGAUGAAGAUUGUAAUAAUAUUGUUAGUAGUGAUCUGGGUACCGGCUACAGCGAUACCAGGAAUGUGUCAUUUCACCCCCCAAGUUACAGCACAAGUGGGACAAAAUGUCACUUUGCAGUGCUGUUUUGAUGCUUCAUUGAAUUUAAGAACUCGGACAGUUGACUGGAAAAAAGAUGACAAGCAGGUGGUCCACGUCUACCGCGAUAGAAAGGACUGUCCUGAUCUACAGGAAACGCAGUUCAGACACAGGACAGCUCUAAGGCAUGAAGACCUGAGCAGAGGAGUCAUGACACUGCAGAUCUUGGCUCAGCUCAGUGACACUGGCAACUUCUCCUGUAAUGUGCCAAAAGGCCGGGGUUCAGAAAUGCUCUCCCAGCGAGUCAUGCUCAUUGGUAACGGCAUGGAUUUCCUAGAAUCACUUUAA
rnacentral:lncRNA from 1 species